rnacentral:lncRNA from 1 species
GCAUCUCAUGUCAUAAAGUGUAUAUGGCAUGACAUGAUAAUGAAUCUCUAAAAUUUCAAUGUUAAGAGGGUGUGUUGUGCCAUAAGAUUGUUAUGUGAUGACAUAGCUUCGAUUUGACCUCUCUAAGGCUUGUCAAAGGCCUUCGGUUGUUAAUAUUUGCACCCAACUAAUAUCUAGCUCCUCCGUUACUGUAACACUGCUAACCCGUAUCCAUCGCCGGACUAGGGUUAAAGGCGUUACCAGAAAACCAGAACAUUUUACACACAAUUCAUAUACAUCAUCCACAAUUA